rnacentral:RNase_P_RNA from 1 species
ACAGAGGUCCGGCUCGUCGCGGGGAGAGCGCUGUUUCAUUACGGCGCCGCCUGAGGAAAGUCCGGGCAACGCAGAGCACCACACUCUCUAACUGGGAGCUAUCGGCGACGGUAGAGCAGCGUGACAGAAAACAACCGCCGUGGCUUAAUUGCCGCGGUAAGGGUGAAAAGGUGGGGUAAGAGCCCACCGGGCGCCACAGCGAUGCGGCGUGCCGCACGUCUUGUGGGUUGCAAGGUCAAGUAUACCGGCAUUUAAGGGUUGCUCGCCCAUUGCCGGGGGGUAGACUGCUACGGACCGCGCACCCGUGCGCGGCCAAGAUAAAUGACGGGCCGUCAUUCCCGUGCGGGCGUGAGCCUGCCUUGCAGUGACGACAUAACCCGGCUUACAGGACCUCUGUUUUU